GAAUCUGGUUCGUCCGUUCUACCCUGCACAGUAAAAUCUUAGUCCCACUUUUCACCACAGCCGUUGGAUGCGUCAAAAAAUUCCUCACCUGUUGGUUUUCUUAGACAGUCCAUGACGCGUGGGACCAGCUACUUGCGGGACCGGUAGUUUGAGACAGCCAUGGCUCUCGUUCGUGUGCACUUCGUAUGCGUGUGAGGUCACAGGGUGAAAACCCUAGAUCGGCCACCACUCCCCAAUCGCAGGCCUCUGCUCCUCCUCCAAUCCCCACCUGCUCCUCUCCUCUCCUCCCCCAAUCCCGCUUCUGCUCAUCCAAUCCAUACACGGGAGCAGCGCUCGAGUGACGAAGGCGGCUGGACGCGGGAGCCGGCAGCGGCAGGGCCCGCGCGCCUAGCGACGGACGUGGGAGCCGGCGGGCGGCAGGGCCCGCACGCCUACCAACGGCGGCGGCUGGACGCGGCGAUGCGAUGGGGCUGGGCUGGUGCGGGGAAGGGCGGCUGCCGUGCAUCGCGGGUCGAGGGCGCGGUGGUGGGUUGGCGGUGGCGACCUGUGUGGCGGCGACGACGGCGUGCGGGAGGAGGAGGGAGGCGGAGCUGCGCCGGCCGCCCAGGUGACAAAGAGGAGGCUGGGGCGCAGCGUGGAGGUGACGGUCGGCCCUCCUGUAGAUGCGAGGCGCGGGAGCGGCGAUUGUCGCGGGUCAACGACGCGGUGGUGGGCUGGCGGCGGCGACCUGGCGCGAUGGGGGAUGACCUGGGGCUGACCACCGGACGUGCGGGGACGGAGCGACAGGUGGUAGCGCGGGGAUGAGGUUCGUCUUGCUUCUCCCUCCUCUCUUUCUCUGUGUAUCUCUCUCUCAUCUCUCACUCUCGUUUUUCUCCUUUUUAUCAUGGACGGCGGCCGGAUCUUUUGGAGAAAGCGGCGCGGUGAUGGACUACUGGAUGCCUAGAAGGGAGGAAGAAGGGGCGGGUGGCAUGGCCUCAACGGGACGAGGAGGAGGCGGAUUCCGGCAUGGCCUGCACGGCUGCACUUUCUUCUCGGAACCUUCGCGUCUAUGGCCUCCUCGCUGUCAAAAUAGAUUGAUCUAAAUCAUCCUUUCAUUUCCCCCCUUAAGAUUGGCUCUCUCUGCUUCCUGAAACAGAAAGGGAGCAAGCUGGAAGCGUUCAUAAAUAAAGCUAUAACAGACAAGCAUUUUUCUUUUUGUUGCUGCUGCUUCUUUCUGCAAAGUUUCAAGCACCUUCAUGCCUCCCUCCAUGUCAAGCAUGACAAGGCAGCAAGGAUUAGAAGGGCGUCCAUUGCUGUAGUCCAUUCCUCAUGUCGUGUGCUCCACCAUUCCUUUAGAGGAUAGGCAGAUUCUUAUUAUAAGCUUUGGCAGCGACAGAAACAACAGAGCUCAUGGGCCAUAAGGAGAAUGCGAGCCAGCAAUUUGACAUGAAAUAGAGAUAUGCCGAGGCUCUUGGUUUUCUUUGUUGUUUGGUUCGAAAAAGCAGCAAGAAAUCAGCAAGCCAGCAGGUCCAGUCGUGAUCAGCCUACGCAGAUAAGACAGCGAGUAGAUUAUGUGCAGUGUUGGGCCUGCCUGCUCACUCUGUCUGAGGCAUCGACUCUCGACUCUCUACAAGCGAGGGCUUCAUGUCAACGGGAGGAAGGAAGUGUGAGAUGGGGCUUUUUGGCAAUGUCUCAGUUCGUUCUUGGUGAGUGUUAUGUAAAAUUCUUUUCAGCUCCGCUCAAGUACAUAAUGUCUCGGUUCGUACAGCGUUAUGUUCUUUUCAGUUGUGACAAGAAACCAGGAUUUUUGCACUGAUGCUCUACAAUUAACCAGCUUCCAAUAGUUGCAGACUAGAAGGAUUCACGUAAAUACUGAAUGGAUUUCCAGCCCCUUUUUAGCGCUCACUUCUGAAUAUCAGCAUGGUUGAUUGAGAUUCAGGGAUUCAGAUAUGUAGUUUUUUAUUGGCAUGUGUAUAAGUCUGUUAUGAGCAGCUAUUUUUGCCUGUUUUCUUGGGUUUAUGGGAGCUAAAUUGUAUGUGUGCUCAAACCCAAAUUUUCAUUGUCAGUAAGAAAAAUGACAAUGGUUUGUGUUAUUCAUAGGAGUAGCUUUACAACUCUCUCAGAAAAGGAGUGGCAUUGCCGAGAUAGUCGUGAGCAUGGGUGAAAGCAAGGCUGGUGGAUGGCUGCGGUGGCAGUGGGUGGAUGACAGUAGCCUCAGCUGAUGGACGAUGGGGCUGCUGAGCGACCGGCAGCAGCAAUGGACGAGGACAUCAGAUGUGUGCGCUCGAGUACCGGGAAGCAAGCCAAAAGCGAGUUGGCAUUGCAAUAGCUAUUGCCUAAAAUUCGUUGCUCCUCCUGGAAUGUACAAUAAAGCAACAAUUUUAUUGUUUUCUUAUUUGUGAUUGUGAUGCUGUAACUCCAAGGUUGCCAGUUGUGAUUCUGGUCACUUUUCAAGCAAAUAAGCAUCAUGACAAUUGAACUUGUCUUCUAUGAAGUCAAGCCUAUUCUCAGAUCUGCAUAGCAUCUGCAUCCUCGCUUUGGCCGCACUUGGACAUGAAAGUCCUAUACAAUAUCCGCCGGCUGCAUCCGUCUGUCCAUCGCACGUCUUCGUUGGAGGCUACCGAUUCCUGCCAUGGCCUCUUCUCCACGGAAAGGCCAGCUACCCAUCGCCUUGCCUUAUGGUGAUGUGCAAGGUUACCACUGAGGCACCUUCUUUGCUUCAGAGGCUUCUUGUGUUGCUGCUGGUUUCCGUUUCUUGCCUGCUCACCUACUGCAGUGCAAACACUGCAGGCCUUGAAGGAUCUGAAUUGAGCACGAGUAGGGAUGCUCCGUUCAUCUUUGGUGAGUGUGCCAACCUGAAGCAUCCUCCGUAUUUCUAUCAACGGGUGAUUUUCAAAGUACAGCAGGUGCUGGCGUGCAUCCGCGAGGCGGGCUGCGGCGUGGAGGAUGACCGACGAGCGCAACAGAGGCGGAUGAGACGACGGCGGUGGCGGGUGAGAGGAGGCACUGCAGGAGCGUGUCCCUUGGAGGGUGGCGACAGCCAAGUAUUUGCACAAGCUAGAGUUUGGAUGUCUAGGAGAUUCACCGAGGGCGACAACAACCACCAUUGGCCUAAGUGGAAUCCUUCGGUUAAUAUUAUACUCUUAGUUGUCUACAUCUUAUGCGCUGAAAGGGAGGUUGGAUGGAACAUCGAGCAUUUAUGUCUUGAGGGUGGCCACAGGUUGUGGGAUAUUAGGAUGAUUUGGAUGUGUUCUUCAGAGCAUAGGUGGCCUUGUUGCCGACGGGUACCUGAAGUACACUGAUCAUUUGCGCGUAGCUUUUCUCUUGCUUUUGUUGUAGUGGUGUUUAAGUAUUAGGUAGUACCAUGUAGUUGUGUGCUAGCAAAAUGCACCUGGCAAGUUUUGUAUAUUUCCUUAUUCUCUGCUUGUUGCUAAAAACAAAAUAAAAUUUUACAUUACUAUCUACCAAUAGUUCUUUGUUGCAUAUAUGCACAUACCCUCAAUGAGUAAAGUACCUAAUACAUUGUUCUGGAAUUCUGGCAAUAUAGUUGGUGCAUAGGUCAGGGGCAGGGGUAGAUCAAUGUCUUCCAGCCACUGUGGACAUUAAUAUGAUAUACAUGUUUCUUGUAGUAACCAUCAUUGAUUCCAACCUUUUUCUUUCCAUUAAUGAUUAAUAGUUGCAUGUUUAGUGCUAUUGCUAUAUUCUGGAUUGUGAUAUCUUUGUGGCAAGAAAAGAUAAUGGCAGUUUUUUUAAAGCACUGUUACUGAUAAGAACACAUUUAAAAUUGCAGUUGCUUGCUUUGAUUUUGCAUGUGUGCUUCCUAUUGCUCAAUAGAGUUGUUUAUAAUUACAAUUUUUCAGAGAAGGGUUGGUGCUUAUAGAAGGAUAGAAUAUAGGUCUCCUGAUGGACUAUGCUUUCUUAUUUGUUAAAGUGAGAUAUGAUUGUUGGCUGGAGAUUCAGAGCUCACUAGAAGGUCAUAGUUCCAUCCCAGGAUACAGUUCAACAUGUAUAAAUCACUUCAGUUACACGAUUUCUUUUGUCAUUCCAAUAGCCCUGCUACUAUUUUAAGUCUGCUGCAAUCCAUAUGCAUAUUCAGUCGAUUUUUUUGUCAUUCCAGUGAUGUGAUAA